rnacentral:tRNA from 1 species
CAAAAGGUAGUUUAAUUAAAAUGCCAGUUUUGGGGGCUGGUGAUGGGGGGCUUACCUUCUCUUUUGAUACCUUGGGG